CCUACGGGAGGCUGCAGUUAGGAAUCUUGGACAAUGGGCGCAAGCCUGAUCCAGCCAUGCCGCGUGAGUGAUGAAGGCCUUAGGGUUGUAAAGCUCUUUCAGCGGGGAAGCGGUACCCGCAGAAGAAGCCCCGGCUAACUUCGUGCCAGCAGCCGCGGUAAUACGAAGGGGGCUAGCGUUGCUCGGAAUCACUGGGCGUAAAGCGCACGUAGGCGGAUUUCUAAGUCGGGGGUGAAAUCCUGGAGCUCAACUCCAGAACUGCCUUCGAUACUGGAAAUCUCGAGUCCGGGAGAGGUGAGUGGAACUCCGAGUGUAGAGGUGAAAUUCGUAGAUAUUCGGAAGAACACCAGUGGCGAAGGCGGCUCACUGGCCCGGACUGACGCUGAGGUGCGAAAGCGUGGGGAGCAAACAGGAUUAGAUACCCUUGUAGUC
rnacentral:rRNA from 1 species